GGAUGAGUAUUGGACAAUGGAGGCAACUCUGAUCCAGCCAUGCCGCGUGAAGGAUGACUGCCCUAUGGGUUGUAAACUUCUUUUAUACAGGAAGAAACGGUUUCACGUGUGAGACUUUGACGGUACUGUAUGAAUAAGCACCGGCUAACUCCGUGCCAGCAGCCGCGGUAAUACGGAGGGUGCAAGCGUUAUCCGGAAUCAUUGGGUUUAAAGGGUCCGUAGGCGGACUAAUAAGUCAGAGGUGAAAUCCCGCAGCUCAAACUGUGGAACUGCCUUUGAAACUGUUAGUCUUGAGUUAUUGUGAAGUGGUUAGAAUAUGUAGUGUAGCGGUGAAAUGCUUAGAGA
rnacentral:rRNA from 1 species